GAUGAACGCUAGCGGCAGGCUUAACACAUGCAAGUCGAGGGGUAUAGUUUUUCGGAACUAGAGACCGGCGCACGGGUGCGUAACGCGUAUGCAAUCUACCUUUUGCAGAGGGAUAGCCCAGAGAAAUUUGGAUUAAUACCUCAUAGUAUAGUACCUUGGCAUCAAGGAACUAUUAAAGUCACAACGGCAAAAGAUGAGCAUGCGUCCCAUUAGCUAGUUGGUAAGGUAACGGCUUACCAAGGCUACGAUGGGUAGGGGUCCUGAGAGGGAGAUCCCCCACACUGGUACUGAGACACGGACCAGACUCCUACGGGAGCAGCAGUGAGGAAUAUUGGACAAUGGGCGCAAGCCUGAUCCAGCUAUGCCGCGUGCAGGAUGACGGUCCUAUGGAUUGAAACUGCUUUUAUACGAGAAGAAACACUCCAACGUGUUGGAGCUUGACGGUAUCGUAAGAAUAAGGAUCGGCUAACUCCGUGCCAGCAGCCGGU
rnacentral:rRNA from 1 species